rnacentral:rRNA from 1 species
UAAGACGAACCUCCCAAACGUUAUUCGGAAUCACUGGGCUUAAAGGGUGCGUAGGCUGCGUAGUUAGUCGGGUGUGAAAUCCCCCAGCUUAACUGAGGAAUUGCGCCCGAUACUGCUGCGCUGGAGGGAGACAGAGGUAAGCGGAACUGAUGGUGGAGCGGUGAAAUGCGUUGAUAUCAUCAGGAACACCAGUGGCGAAAGCGGCUUACUGGGUCUCUUCUGACGCUGAGGCACGAAAGCUAGGGGAGCAAACGGGAUUAGAUACCCCGGUAGUCCUAGCCGUAAACUCUGAGCACUUGAUCGGAGACUCCCUCAUAGGUUUCUGGUCGUAGCGAAAGUGUUAAGUGCUCCGCCUGGGGAGUAUGGUCGCAAGGCUG